rnacentral:rRNA from 1 species
AACGAACGCUGGCGGCAUGCCUAACACAUGCAAGUCGAACGAGACCUCCGGGCUUUUUGGCGCACGUCGGGGGAACGAGGGGGAACCUGCCCGUAGGUUCCGAAUAACUCACCGUAGGGUGACCUAAUAACGGUGAAUCUCUUAGGACCAAAGAGGUAUCGCCGUGGGGUGGGCGCGCGUGGGUUUCGCCGGUUGGUAGGGUAAUAGCAUACCAACGCGACGAUGCAGAGCUGGUGUGAGAGGAUGAUCUACCACGCUUGGGCUCAGACACGGCCCAGACUGCUACGCGAGGGAGCAGUGGGGAAUAUUGGACGAUGGGCGAAGGCCUGAUCCAGCAACGCCGGGUGAGUGAUGAAGGCCUUAGGGUUGUAAAGCUCUUUUACCCGGGAUGAUAAUGACAGUACCGGGAGAAUAAGCUCCGGCUAACUACGUG